UACGGAGGGGGCUAGUGUUGUCCGAAGUUACUGGGCGUAAAGCGCGCGUAGGCGGGUUGGUAAGUCCGCUGUGAAAGCCCGGAGCUCAACUCCGGAGGGUCGGUGGAUACCGCCAGUCUUGAAGGUGCUAGGGGGAGAUGGAAUUACCGGUGUAGCGGUGAAAUGCGUAGAUAUCUGGAGGAACACCGGUGGCGAAGGCGGCAUCCUGGACCGGUAUUGACGCUGAGGCGCGAAAGCCAGGGGAGCAAACGGG
rnacentral:rRNA from 1 species